rnacentral:rRNA from 1 species
CGAAAGCCUGACGGAGCAAUACCGCGUGAGGGAGGAAGGCUCUUGGGUUGUAAACCUCUUUUCUGGGGGAAGAAGUUCUGACGGUACCCCAGGAAUCAGCAUCGGCUAACUCCGUGCCAGCAGCCGCGGUAAUACGGAGGAUGCAAGCGUUAUCCGGAAUUAUUGGGCGUAAAGCGUCCGCAGGUGGUACAUCAAGUCUGCUGUCAAAGACCGGAGCUCAACUCCGGGCAGGCAGUGGAAACUGGUGAACUAGAGUACGGUAGGGGUAGAGGGAAUUCCCAGUGUAGCGGUGAAAUGCGUAGAGAUUGGGAAGAACACCAGUGGCGAAGGCGCUCUACUGGGCCGUAAC